rnacentral:lncRNA from 1 species
UAUGGAAGUUCCCAGGCUAGGGGUUGAAUCGGAGCUAUAGCUGCCAGCCUACACCAUAGCCACAGCAACGCCAGAUCCCAUCCACACCUGCAAUCUACAUCACACCUCACGGCCACGCCAAAUCCUUAACCCACUGCGUGAGGCCAGGGAUCAAACCCUCAUCCUCAUGAAUGCCAUUUGGAUUCAUUGCCGCCAAGUCACAACCAGAACACCAAUUAAGUGCACUUUUAAUCUGUAUUUUUUUUUUUUCAGAAAUACUCCUAUAUACUUUGUCAAAGCCUGCUCUGGUAAUAUUCAGAUCAUAUAAACCAAACUAUAGAUAGUCUGAUACUUAGGAAAAAGUAGAAAGUUUAAGGUAUUGUAGUCAGACCUGCCAUAGGAAUCAAGGUACAAGAGGAAUGCCCACCAGGCUGAAGUUGCCUGGGAAUGAGGUGGGGAAAAGGAAACUGUCUUAAAUUUGUACUCUACUUUUGACCACACUCAGGAUCUUAGAAAGACUAGGAUUUGGGUCAUUGAUCGGGCCUUAAGGCCUCUACAACUUAACAUAAUUAUGGACUAGAAAGAGUAGUAGGCUGGCAGCCAGAAGGCCUCCCCACAGGCUGGGAGUGUCUGUGUAUUUCCCUUCUCAGAGGCAGAGCCUGCUAUUUUAAAGUGAGGGCGCUGGGCUGUGUUAUAUCAUUUCUCUCUCGUGUCUUGUGUUCUAUGGAGUCAUCUUGAGUUCUUCCUUUCUGCAUGGCCCCAUCAUCAGUCACCCCUCAAGGACUCCUGAUAAUCUCUGCCCCUAUCUUCUGGCCAUGCUUUUGGUUCAGACUCAGGUCAAUGCCAAGUCUUCUUAAAUGUUUUCCCCACUUGCUUUGGGCUAAUGAUAUGAUCUCCCAAGUCUUCAGCUAUCCCGUCUUCUGAACAACAGAUACAUAUACUCACAGGGGGUUUGGGUCCCCAUAUAACAUAUAAAAAAUGCUUCACACUGUGUUCAGUUCCUAAUGGUGACAACUAUUUCCUAGAAAAUACGUAUAUUGUCCUUUUUUGUCAUGAAGUUUACUCUUUUUAAGAAUUUAUUUUAUUGAGGAGUUCUUGUCGUGGCGCAGUGGUUAACGAAUCCGACUAGGAACCCUGGGGUUGUGGGUUCGAUCCCUGGCCUUGCUCAGUGGGUUAAGGAUCCGGCGUUGCCGUGAGCUGUGGUGUAGGUCGCAGACCCGGCUGGAUCCCACAUUGCUGUGGCUCUGGCGUAGGCCGGUAGCUACAGCUCCGGUUAGACCGCUAGCCUGGGAACCUCCAUGUGCCACAGGAAGCGGCCCUAAAAAAGGCAAAAAGACAAAAAAAAAAAUUUAUUUUAUUGAAGUAUGAUUGAUUUAUAGUGUUGCGUUAAUUUCUUCUGUACAACACAGUGAUUCAGUUCAUAAAUAUAUAUGGUUUAUCACAGGAUAUUGACUACAGUUCCCUGUGAUACACAAUAGGACCUUAUUUAUCCAUUCUGUAUAUAAUCAUUUGCACAUGCCAAUCCUAAACUCUCAAUCCAUCCCUCUGCCAUCCCCCUUCCUCCGUGGCAGCCAUAAAUCCAUUUUCUAUAUGAGUCUGGUUUUGUUUUGGAGAUAUGUUCAUUUGCAUCAUAUUUUAGAUUCCACAUAUCAGUGAUAUCAUAUGGUAUUUAACUUUCUCUUUCUGAAAAACUUCACUCAGUAUGAGAAUCUCUAGUUGCAUCCAUGUUGUUGCAAAUAGCUUUAUUUCACUAUUUCUUUGGCUGAGCAAUAUUCCAUGGUAUAUAUGUACCCAUCUUCCUCAUCCACUCCUCUAUCUAUGGAUAUUUAGGUUAUUAACAUGUCUUGGCUAUGGUAAAUAGUGCUGUUAUGAACAUAGGGUGCAUGUAUAAGAAGUUUUACUCUUAAUCACAACAGGAUUUGUAUCAAGGAAAAAUAAAAGUAAUCUAGAUGUCUGGGUAGAAUGCUUA